GCCUGGAUAGCUCAGCUGGUUAGAGUGUGAUGCUGGUGAUGCCAAGGUGGCAGGUUCAAUCCUUGUGUGGGACA